rnacentral:tmRNA from 1 species
GGGGGCGACCUGGCUUCGACGCAGGUGGCAAAACCUGAGGUGCAUGCCGAGGUUCAGUCCAACCUCGUAAAACAGACUGACCUAAAGAUAGUUGCCAACGACGACAACUACGCUCUGGCGGCCUAAAACGGCUACCAGCUUCUCACCGGGACUCGCCCAUGGGUCCCGGAAAAGCCUUCGGGCUUGAGGAGUCACCCUACAUGGGCUCGCGGUGAUGGGCGUUCGGCCCUGAUCCGUUAAAACCUUACCGGACUAGCCGGAUGUGUUCCCUGCCUGACGGGAAGCAGACGGUGAAACUCAAAGUCAGGAUAAGCAUGUAGAGCCAAGGGCGGAGUGCCUGCGGACGGGGGUUCGAUUCCCCCCGCCUCCACCA